rnacentral:rRNA from 1 species
UACGAAGGGUGCAAGCGUUGUUCGGAUUUACUGGGCGUAAAGGGCAUGUAGGCGGAUCAUUUAGUUAGGGGUGAAAUCCCGGGGCUUAACCUCGGAAUUGCCUUUAAUACGGGUGGUCUGGAGAGCUAGAGGGGAUAAUGGAAUACCCAGUGUAGAGGUGGAAUUCGUAGAUAUUGGGUAGAACACCAGCGGCGAAAGCGGUUAUCUGGCUAGCAACUGACGCUGAGAUGCGAAAGCGUGGGGAUCAAAC